UCUGGUGGAGAAAGACGUUCACAAGGGAAGCUAGUCUCAGUGAGCUUGCUCGCUAAACCCGGAGCUGUUUUCCUGUUUUUUGCUUUAUUGAAACAAGGUCUCAUUCGAUGCAGACUGACCGACCUUGAGCAUCCAACCGAAAAACAUCGGGCUGCUUCACCGGGAGGAAAUCACCAGUGGACACCAAUCUCCAUCUCUUUCUGAAGCGUGCUUUCCCAGUCACUUUGACCCCCUAAUUUUCCCAGACACUCUCCUCCCCCACUCUUUGCACCACGAGGGCUGCUCGGCUCCCAUGUGACUACUUACUAAAUAAAGGACAAGUUUCCCCUUCA